CCCCUGUUUUAUCUUCUCUUUCACCCUCAUCUCUCACCACCGUCCGCCGCCCAUCGGAAAUCGCCAGUAGUGGCGGUUGAUCUCCAAACCCCCUCAAAUCUUGACUAUAUAACUGUCAUUGCCCCUCCAUUCCAAAUCCACCCUUGUUUCCUCCCCCAAACCACUGGUCUUCUCCGAAUUAGAGAUCUAAGAGAUCAAUAAAAUCCUCUUCACCCUUUUUCUUUUGAUAUCUGCCCAAUCUAGCCUCUUCUUGGUGUUGAACAUAUGUGAAUCGACCAGCUUCGAGUGAAAAGCCAAUUGGCUGAGGGUUCGUUUGGUGCAUGGUGGUUGAGUUUGGUUAACAAUCUCCAAUGGGCAAUUAUUUCUGUUUCUUCUUCGUUCUUGACUCGUGAUGGGGACUGAGACGAAGAGCACAAGCCAUUGAAUAAACUUCGGCUAGUGCUCAAUGUUACAGUUCACACCAUGGGGUUGAGGUUCUUCACGCCGGAUUCCCUUACCUUUGAGCCAUCGAUCUAGCCAGUAUACUUCUAUUCCUCUUCAUCUCAGUUGGAUUUAGAAAACAUAGGUUUUUCAGUCGAUUUAUUCGGUAAUAAUAGGUCAAGAAGCACAGUUAAUCUCUUUGUUAGCAUUUGUUAAUUUUCUUCUUUCCUUUUACUUCUUCUCUUUUAUUCUGCUUCGUUAGAAGAUCUGAUUCAGAAUAGGGUUAGUUUGGACUUUCUUGUGAAUUCAUCUGCUUAGACUUGAACCUGGGCUUGCUAGCGCAAGAAGCCCAAAGAGCUUGUUGAAUUUCGUUGGUGCAGAAGCCAAAGAAAUGUUGGGGUUUGUCAAUUCAGAAGCCCAAAGGCAUUUUGGUCAUUUUCGUUCAAAUGACUCGCAGGGCUAAGGUAAUUGGAAAGCUUAGAGAGGGUAGUUAGGGGAUUUGGUUAUAAAGAAUCUUUGAUAACUAUCUGAAAUGAAAAGAUGAAAAUUGAAGAGGGGAGGGUAGUGAAUGAAUAAAAUUAAGUUUUUUUGCCUAAACUCUAACUAUAAAAGGGCUCACUCCCUUCAUUUUCUGGAAGAGAUCAGAAUACCAAAAGCUAGCAAACGGCUGAAAUACACAUACAAUGCUAGAGUUUUAGAUUUAGGAAGAAAAAAACAAAACAAAAAAAGAAAAAUCCUUCAAAUACUAUUCCAUUGCAGCUAGUUUUGAUCUUUCUUGGUUUUUAAAAAAGCUUGAGUACACUACUAUUCUUUUUCUGGGUUCAAAACAUGAGAAGCUGAUUGAUAGUUGUUGUUUUAAAGAUUUGCUGAUAUUACCAUUGCUUGCUGAUGUUCUGUGGUUUUUUUUUGGUUUAUAUCCAGGUACUUCUUUUGAACCCUGAAUGGAAACUAGAAUGUGAGCGUGUUUGUAUGGAAGGUGUACUCAUGCUGAAAAUAAUGGGUAUUCACGUUGAUAUGUUUUGAUUUUUUACUCUGAAAUAGAAUCACGCUAUGUUGAAUUAUGCUGCCAUUUCAUUUGAGUAUUAAGUUUAAGAUUUUGUUUAAUUCUUCAUAGUUCUAUGGAUGUACAGAUUCAUUUGUUUCUUCUUUCAUCUCAUUGGUAGUGUUGUUUGGAUUUUCACCAUCUG
rnacentral:lncRNA from 1 species